rnacentral:rRNA from 1 species
UUCGUAGGCGGUGUGGCAAGUCGGGAGUGAAAUCUAUGGGCUUAACUCAUAGGCUGCUUCCGAAACUGCUGUGCUUGAGUGGUGGAGAGGACGCGUGGAAUUGCAGGUGUAGCGGUGAAAUGCGUAGAUAUCUGCAGGAACACCCGUGGCGAAAGCGGCGCGCUGGACCACAACUGACGCUGAGGAACGAAAGCUAGGGGAGCAAACAGGAUUAGAUACCCUGGUAGUCCUAGCCCUAAACGAUCAGGACUUGGGGUGCCACCCGUUCGGGUGUCGUCCCGGAGCUAACGCGUUAAGUCCUGCACCUGGGGAGUACGGUCGCAAGACUGAA